GCUACGGGAUGGAGCUGGAGAAAUGUUGAACACUCUCAAAUUCAUAGACACAGCUAUGGAUGCAAGGACUGACCAUCGUGCCUCCUAAAACCCCCCGGCCCAAGGUUCUUCGCCUCAGACCUCCUCCAAUGGGUUUUGAGAAGGAGGCAUGCAGAGGAAAUGGCUCUGGCUUGCUGAUAACAUCUGAUCUGAGACUCCCUGUGCGAUUUGACUCCUGUAAUAUAUUCAAUAAAACUUCCCAUGCCAAAUUGAAAUAAUUUUAGAUUCUACAAUUGAUAGACAAUAGUAGUUCCCAAUCAGACAAUUAUUGUAAACAAAUCUGUUUCACUCAGUGCAAUGUUUGGUGAAUGCAUGUUGUUUUGUCCUUUGAAUGCAACCAUCAUCGAGUCCAUCCUCACUUCCUCGAUCACUGCAACGGAUUGUCCGGUCUGCUGAGAGGGUCAUUGGCUACCACCUUCCCUCCAUCGAGGUCCUGCAUAACCCCUUCAUGCCCGACCCCCUUUCACACCCUCUUCCAAAAAGUCCCAUCUGGCAAACGGUUCAUGUCAAUCACAACCAAAACCUCCAGCCACCUGAACAGUUUCUUCCCCUGUGCCUUGGCCCUCACCAACCGUCCACCUGGUUCACGAUUAACCUCUCAUCUGUGGACUUUGCACUAUUCAUCCACAGACGAUGCACCUUGGACUAUUAUCCUAGAACUGCAAAUUGCUCUUUGCACUCUCCUCACAUCUCGUACAUGUGUAGCACAUGGGGAUGUGUGAAACUUAAUCCUCAGCCUUAAGUGUCCCGUUUGUGUCGCCUUAUUACAGGGAUGACACUAGUCACCUUUUGGCGAAAUUCGCCUUUUUGAAUCCAAAAUAGGUGACCUAUGUGAUACGUGUAGAUCCGAUGGGCUUUGGAUGACUACUGGCUGUAAGUGAACGAGUGAUGCGCAUUUGGAGCAAUACUGGCUGCAGGAAGUGCAAAAAAAAGGGUCACCUUUUUGGGCCCAUUUUUUGGGGGUCCAUUCCUCCUGUUAUUAACUAGCUUUUGAGGUGGUGCGAUUGGCUAAGACGCUUGAGAGACGUGUGUGAGGCAGAGGUCCUGAGUUUCCGCCAGGUAUGGGCCGACUCUGGAGGAAGUGGUACUCGCUAAGCAAGCAGAGUGACAUCCUUUACACAUGCAUCAUUUAUAAUGUAGCUUAUUGUGCUCAUAGUGUACACACUGUAUGUGGAUUUGCAUCUAUGUAUAUUGUGUUUGUGGUAGCACCAUUUCACAUAGUCAAAUUCCUAUACGUGCUAAUUUAUUUGGUGAAUUAAAGCUGAUUGACAUGUUUUAACUUGA